GCUUACGGCAAUACUACCCUGAGAAUGCCCGAUCUUGGAAGCUAAGCAGGGUCGGGCCUGAAUAGUACUUGGAUGGGAGACCGCCUGGGAAUACCAGAUGCUGUAAGCU
rnacentral:rRNA from 1 species